GACGGAGGGUGCUAUCGUUGUUCGGAUUUACUGGGCGUAAAGGGCGCGUAGGCGGCCUUCUCAGUCGGGUGUGAAAGCCCGGGGCUCAACCCCGGAACGGCACCCGAGACGGGAAGGCUGGAGACCGGGAGAGGAGGGUGGAAUAGCCAGUGUAGAGGUGAAAUGCGUAGAUAUUGGGAGGAACACCAGUGGCGAAGGCGGCUCACUGGACCGGUACUGACGCUGAUGCGCGAAAGCGUGGGGAGCAAACGGG
rnacentral:rRNA from 1 species